UGAAGUUAAAGNCAUUGGCUCAACCAAUGUAUGCUUUGGAAACUGUUAGACUUGAGUGCAGAAGGGGAGAGUGGAAUUCCAUGUGUAGCGGUGAAAUGCGUAGAUAUAUGGAGGAACACCGGUGGCGAAAGCGGCUCUCUGNUCUGUCACUGACGCUGAGGCUCGAAAGCGUGGGUAGCGAACAGGAUUAGAUACCCUGGUAGUCCACGCCGUAAACGAUGAGUGCUAGGUGUUAGGUCCUUUCCGGGACUUAGUGCCGCAGCUAACGCAAUAAGCACUCCGCCUGGGGAGUACGACCGCAAGGUUGAAACUCAAAGGAAUUGACGGGGGCCCGCACAAGCGGUGGAGCAUGUGGUUUAAUUCGAAGCAACGCGAAGAACCUUACCAGGUCUUGACAUCCCGAUGCCCGCUCUAGAGAUAGAGUUUUUCUUCGGAACAUCGGAGACAGGUGGUGCAUGGUUGUCGUCAGCUCGUGUCGUGAGAUGUUGGGUUAAGUCCCGCAACGAGCGCAACCCUUAUUGUUAGUUGCCAUCAUUGAGUUGGGCACUCUAGCGAGACUGCCGGUAAUAAACCGGAGGAAGGUGGGGAUGACGUCAAAUCAUCAUGCCCCUUAUGACCUGGGCUACACACGUGCUACAAUGGUUGGUACAACGAGUCGCAAGCCGGUGACGGCAAGCUAAUCUCUGAAAGCCAAUCUCAGUUCGGAUUGUAGGCUGCAACUCGCCUACAUGAAGUCGGAAUCGCUAGUAAUCGCGGAUCAGCACGCCGCGGUGAAUACGUUCCCGGGCCUUGUACACACCGCCCGUCACACCACGAGAGUUUGUAACACCCAAAGUCGGUGAGG
rnacentral:rRNA from 1 species